rnacentral:rRNA from 1 species
AUCGAACGCUGGCGGCAGGCCUAACACAUGCAAGUCGAGCGGCGCGGCGGACGGGCGAGUAAUGCAUAUGAAUGUGCCUGGUAGUGGGGGAGAACGUCCGGCAACGGGCGCUAAUACCGACUACUAUCCGUUGAGCCUAGGUAGGUUUAGCUAGGUGGUGGGGUAAGGGCCUACCAAGGCGACGAUCCGUAACUGGGCUGAGAGGAUGAACAGUCACACUGGAACUGAGACACGGUCCAGACUCCUACGGGAGGCAGCAGUGGGGAAUAUUGGACAAUGGGCGAAAGCCUGAUGCAGCCAUGCCGCGUGUGUGAAGAAGGCCUUCGGAUUGUAAAGCACUUUAAGUGGGGAGGCGUUACCAGCAGAAGAAGCACCGGCUAACUUCGUGCCAGCAGCCGCGGUAAUUC